AGAGCGAACGCUGGCGGCAGGCCUAAUACAUGCAAGUCGAGCGGCCACUUCGGUGGCAGCGGCGGACGGGUGAGUAACGCGUGGGAAUGUGCCCUUUGGUACGGAACAACUGAGGGAAACUUCAGCUAAUACCGUAUGUGCCCUUCGGGGGAAAGAUUUAUUGCCAUUGGAGCAGCCCGCGUUGGAUUAGCUAGUUGGUGGGGUAAAGCCCACCAAGGCGACGAUCCAUAGCUGGUCUGAGAGGAUGAUCAGUCACACUGGAACUGAGACACGGUCCAGACUCCUACGGGAGCAGCAGUGGGGAAUAUUGGACAAUGGGCGAAAGCCUGAUCCAGCCAUGCCGCGUGUGUGAAGAAGGUCUUCGGAUUGUAAAGCACUUUAAGUGGAGG
rnacentral:rRNA from 1 species